GUGGGACACAAUCAUGAAGUGGAACAACAUUUAUUGGAUAUUUCAAACUUUUUUAACAAAUCAAAAACUGAAAAAUUGGGCGUGCAAAAUUAUUCAGCCCCCUUAAGUUAAUACUUUGUAAAAAAAAAUUGGGUUAGGCUGAGCUAAAAUGCUAUUGUCCACAACUGUUAUCCCCAACACGACAACUAGAUGGAGCUGUACUGAUAACCACAACCGUACAAACCAUCAUUUAUCAUAACGCCAACCUAAGAAGAGGGAUACGUAUUUAUACUCGUAUCUCUUUAGUAUAAGCAAGAACAUGGAUUAAAAAGUAACCCUUUUAAUACAUAGCAUAGCUAUUUUGAAAGUAAUUAAGGAAAUGCAUAUCACUUGGACAAGUGUUGUGAUUUACCAUUGUGUGAAUGAGUGACUCAUUUCUGUGUUAUCUAUGCAGGUACCAUCUAUCAGGCAUAUGAGCCCAUUCUCUUCCAGUCCAUUCGGAACCCUUUUUGUAUUCAGAUGCAUAGAUCGUGUUUUGAUUGAUGGCAAUGACAAAGGCAUCUCUAAAAUAGUGUACAGGGCAUCUUUUCCUGCACCUGAAAUCUGCUCCUGCAUCCAUCCCAGUCGUCAACAGCGCAUUGGGGUCGUGCAGUGGAAGAGACAGGCUUGGUCCUUUCAGUUUGAGUGACAUCACUUGGUUGACAGCCAA